GACGAACGCUGGCGGCGUGCUUAACACGUGCAAGUCGAACGGAAAGGCCCUGCUUUUGUGGGGUGCUCGAGUGGCGAACGGGUGAGUAACACGUGAGUAACCUGCCCUUGACUUUGGGAUAACUUCAGGAAACUGGGGCUAAUACCGGAUAGGAGCUCCUGCUGCAUGGUGGGGGUUGGAAAGUUUCGGCGGUUGGGGGUGGACUCGCGGCUUAUCAGCUUGUUGGUGGGGUAGUGGCUUACCAAGGCUUUGACGGGUAGCCGGCCUGAGAGGGUGACCGGCCACAUUGGGACUGAGAUACGGCCCAGACUCCUACGGGAGGCAGCAGUGGGGAAUAUUGCACAAUGGGCGGAAGCCUGAUGCAGCAACGCCGCGUGCGGGAUGACGGCCUUCGGGUUGUAACCCGCUUUCGCCUGUGACGAAGCGUGAGUGACGGUAAUGGGUAAAGAAGCACCGGCUAACUACGUG
rnacentral:rRNA from 1 species